CUUUACUUGUCCCUGCUACAGUAACGUCUUUCUGCUAGUUUGACGUUUAUUGGAUAAGUGAAUUUGUUUCGUGUACCGAGUUCAAAUAAUUUUAACAAUCAUAAGGAAAUACUCGAAAUUUCUAUUUAUUUAUUUAUCUGUAUGCCUUGCGUAAGCCCGCAUCAUUUUAAAUCUUCCAUGAAUGUUGACAUUGUCUUCCCGCAGCUGUUUGUAAUGCAAAUAUCCUUCCUUGACCUGAAGCCUACAAGAUGGUUUUCAUCUUCAAGUUCUAAUUUUAGCUGAGAGUAAUGUAGAUAUAUAAACAAAAAUUACAUAUUCACAAAUGGCACAGAGAAUUCACUAUUGCAUCGUUUAUGAAUAAACUGAAACGAAAUUGGAUAAUUUGGUGGUAAUGCGGGGAUGUGGAUCUGUUUUGAUUUAAUAGGAAGCCGAGAAGGCUUGGGUGCUUCCAUUUCAUUCCUUAUACUUCUAUAUUCAAUUUCUAAUAGUGUUGAUGCUAGUUUGACAAAUGCUGAUACAUCCAAUAUACCUCAUAACACUGUCACGUCAGAUAUAUCAUCACCAACUGUUACGCAUCAUGAGAAUGACGAAUGUAGGAAUGUGACCACUGAUGAUAGAGCAAGUUCUGGACUGUCAGUGGUCAGCCAUGGAACUGGCCAUCCUCAUUCGCCAACAGUGCCUCCAACCUUUCUCCACGGAGUUCUUACCUGCCAACCCUAUCAAGGAAUUUAUGUGAACCAUGUCUAUUUUCAAUUAGCAAAUGUCUUCUUCCUAUUGUCACACCUUGCACCAAGUGGCAUACAUGGUGUCCUCUAUUUAAGGUGCACUCUGCUCGUGGGCUGUGCCUUUCUUGCUUUGUGGGGCUGGACAAUAGCUUGCUGGCUGGACGUCGUGCUCUGGAAUGCUCUCUUUGUUGUCAUCAACUUCGUCCAUGUAUGCACGCUUCUUUACAAGCUCAGGCCUAUCAAGUUUUCAAGGGAAGUUGAAGAGGUAUAUAUUGCUGUAUUCCAGCCAUUGAGAGUAUCACGUCAUCAAUUUAAAAAAGUCUUAAAUUGUAUGAAGAUCAUCAGACAAUUAAAAUAUCAAGAAGUUUACGCUCAAGAGAAAGUAACAAAAGUUGACUCCUUAUCAUUGGUGUUAUCAGGAAAAUUAGUUGUAUCACAGAAUGGAAGAGCAUUGCAUAUUGUCUUCCCACAUCAGUUCCUGGAUUCUCCAGAAUGGUUUGGUGUCUCUACAGAUGAAUAUUUCCAGGUAUCUAUAACAGCCAUGGAAGAAUCAAGGAUAUUAUUAUGGCACAGAGAUAAGUUAAAAUUAAGCAUUAUUAGUGAUCAAUUCCUGCAGGCAGUUUUUGAUCAUAUCCUUGGCAGAGAUGUAGUUAAAAAGUUGAUGCAGGUUAGUGAAACAAUGGCUGCUAGCAGUCAUCAACAACAAAAUGGACAAGUUAUUGGUCUUGGCAGCAUAGGGACGUUAGAAAAUGAUCCAGAUACUAAGCUGUUCGUCGUUAAAAAAACGGGUGAUAGUCAGGGGAUUACUGCUCUUAUCAGUCGUCAGCUUCAAGAAGAGAGAAUGCCGCUGCUGUACAUGAGCCAAGAAGUACUACACAAUGCCUUACAUCAUACCUCAAAUCAUCUGUGUGCGCCUUAUACACGUCCUUUAAAUCCUGUGCAAUGCAACGUUCAGUCUUCCUUAUAAUGCUUUUGCUACAAAUUGUGCCUUUAUUUAGCACGUUUGUAUGCAUUGCAUAUAUUAUGUUGUCGAAACGAGCAUACACAUCUCAUAUGACUCUUACAGAAAGACUUCAUUUAUUCUUUUCUCCCGAAUAUUGUAUGCAGCAGCAGGUGAUCCAAAUGCUUGGAGAUUGGGAAGAAUCGAAGAGACUGAUCAUGAAACACCUGUUUAAUGAUUGUUAAAUUGAUGUCAUCCUCGACAGUCAAUAUGAUAUAAUAUUGGUCUUUUUAUGUAAUGCAGUUAUGAUGAGACAAUAUUCAUCAUAAUCUUCAUAGCAUGAUGUGCUGUGCGUGGAACAAUUGAACAUUCUCUUGCCAAUCUUUAAUUUUGUUCACAAUUAAUCAAAUUUAUUAAGUGAUAAUAAAAAAGUAAUUGUUUACAGCAUAAUAAUUCUACUAUAGUUUGUAAUAAGAUAUACAAAUAACAUUAUUUUAUGCUUCCAUUGUAUUAUAAGGUACUAUGAAAUUUUUGUUGUAAGGAUCAACGAUCAUUAUUUAUUUAUAUAUUCUUAUUUAAUUAUAUCACAUUCAAUAAUAUAAUGAAUAUGAUUUUAUAAACACAAUAGAAUGAGCGUUGUUCGAUCGCAACGGCGUAACUUCUAUAACAUGAGAUAUUAAAUUACAGUCUAACUGAUAGAAGAUAGAGAGGCCUAUGAAGAGGAUUGCUUUCUAUACCCAAAAAUAGUGCCUUUUUACUUCCACUUUAAUUUUUAAUUUCGGAAUGAAAAGUAUAUACAGUACAAUUGUAUAAAAUCGUUAUAUAUUUAUUCAAUAUUUUUUAAAUAGAAAUUUUCCAAUAUUACUAUAUAUCAUGUAUGAGAAAAAUAAGGUCACAAUCUUGUUGAAGAAUACAUUCGUGAUUGGAGAGAUAAAUGAAGUUACGCCAUGAAUGCGUACGAAUAUUACGAAGUGCAACAUAGCAAAUGUUUAAACCUUUAUACUGACAUAUUGCUGGUAGAGGCAAAUCAUUGCCUGUAACUUGUAAUGUUAAUAAUGUGAAAUUAUCAAAGAUAUUAUAAUAAUAUUAAAAUCA